rnacentral:lncRNA from 1 species
GUAGGAGGCCGGACGCAGGGCGGCGGUACCCAGGAGGGUUCGAGAAGAGGUCCCAUUCACCCGCCCCGUUAUCUCCGCUUGCUUGGCAUUCUUUAUCCUCUUUCCUGAAUUUCAGAGGCUUCUGGAAAUCACCGAAGGGUCAGAAUUCCUCAGGCUGCAAGUAGAGGGAGGUGGAUGCUCCGGAUUCCAAUACAAAUUUUCACUGGACACAGUUAUUAACCCCGACGACAGGGUAUUUGAACAGGGUGGGGCAAGAGUGGUGGUUGACUCUGAUAGCUUGGCCUACGUUAAGGGGGCCCAGGUGGACUUCAGCCAAGAACUAAUCCGAAGCUCAUUCCAGGUGUUGAAUAAUCCUCAAGCCCAGCAAGGCUGCUCCUGUGGGUCAUCCUUCUCUAUCAAAAUCUGACACAAUGGCAGAUGACUCUGGGAUUGCCACCAUUGUGCCAGUGUGAAAAACCCGGGAAUAGUAGAAUUCUAGAGAUCGAUUUCUCAUCAUGUCCCCCUCUCAUUUAAUUUAGUCCAGCGGUGUCUUAUUUUACCACUAUUAAUUAUGGAAUGUGAAGCUUUUACUCUUGACAGAAAUACUCUCCCCUCCCCCAGCACAAUGUUAAGGCCAAAUCCAAAUGCCGUUACCUCAACCUUAAUCACUGGUUGGAACCCUAGCACUUAGUACCUCUAGGACUCCAAAAUUUGGAGUUAACUUCUCUAGCCUUCAAAAUUGUUUAUAUGUGUGUGUAUAGCUAUAUAUAAAGCAUCAUUAUAAACUAAGUUCUUACCGUGUUUUUAAUCAGGAUCACAGUUUGGGUAGCUUGAAUACCAGAAUUGAGGCCAAAAUCGAUUAGAAGGCAAACAACUAUUGUCUGCUGCCACUUUCUCUUUCCCUCCUUCCUUCCUUCCUUCCCUCUUUCUUUCAACAGAGUCUUAUAGGUAGCCCCAGUUUUGGACUCUCAAUUUUCCUGCCUCAGCCUCUUUAUGCUGGAACUGCAGAAAUAUUACUACCAGGCUUGGGUCAUUCCUUUUUCUUCUUUUUCUUUUCUUCUUCUUUUUUUCCUCCUCUUCCUCCUUUUCUUCUCCUCCUCCUUUUCUUCCUCUUCUUCCUCUUCUUCCUCCUCUUCUUCUUCCUCUUCCUCCUCCUCCUCGUCUUCCUUUCUUUUCUUUUUUGUGGUUGUAUG